UAACAUCGUAUAAUAAAAAUCAAAACCCGC
rnacentral:sRNA from 1 species